UACGGAGGGAGCUAGCGUUAUUCGGAAUUACUGGGCGUAAAGCGCACGUAGGCGGCUUUGUAAGUUAGAGGUGAAAGCCUGGAGCUCAACUCCAGAAUUGCCUUUAAGACUGCAUCGCUUGAAUCCAGGAGAGGUGAGUGGAAUUCCGAGUGUAGAGGUGAAAUUCGUAGAUAUUCGGAAGAACACCAGUGGCGAAGGCGGCUCACUGGACUGGUAUUGACGCUGAGGUGCGAAAGCGUGGGGAGCAA
rnacentral:rRNA from 1 species